UACAGAGGGUGCAAGCGUUAAUCGGAAUUACUGGGCGUAAAGCGUGCGUAGACGGUUGUGUAAGUCGGAUGUGAAAGCCCCGGGCUCAACCUGGGAAUGGCAUUCGAGACUGCAUAGCUAGGAUGCGGAAGAGGGAAGUGGAAUUUCCGGUGUAGCGGUGAAAUGCGUAGAUAUCGGAAGGAACAUCAGUGGCGAAAGCGACUUCCUGGUCCAGCAUCGACGUCAGGCACGAAAGCGUGGGGAGCAAACAGG
rnacentral:rRNA from 1 species